AGAAAGAAAGAAAGAAAGAAAGAAAGAAAGAAAGAAAGAAAGAAAGAAAGAAAGGAAAGAAAGGAAGAAACUUGAGCCUUAGUAGUAAAUGAACAGUCCUGGGCAUGCAAGAUGGCUCAUGGAACAAAGCUGCUUGCUGCAAAGCCCAAGGGACCUGAGUUCAAUUCCUGGAACCCUUAUGGUGAAAGGGAAGAUCCAACUCUUGAAAGUUGUUGUCUAACCUCUGUGAGGGACCCUGAACAUACAAAUAAACAGAUAGAUGUAAAGGGAAGAAGGGACCCUGAACAUACAAAUAAACAGAUAGAUGUAAAAGGAAGAAACGUAAAGGCUAACUAGAAAAUGAUGACAACAGAACCAGUUUGUCUUUUCUAACAGGGGAAAGGAGGUGAAUUGCCUCUUUUUUAAAAAGGAGCUUCUCAGGAGAAGAACUGGGUCUUUCUUUGGUUUGAGUUGCAUUUGCCUAAUUAACUAAUCUAUUAAUGUCAUUAAUUAAUGUCAAAAUUAAUUAAUUUUACAUAAAAGGAGAGGUUAGAAAAAUUACUACUGAAAAACUACCUUCUCUGCCUUUUCCUUAGGAGCCCUUAAGUGUCCAACUAAUACAGCUUUCUUCAGCAUAGAGCUUGAAUCAGGGGCCAGGAGUGGCAGGCUGCUCUCUAUAAAAGAAAACAAGACUAAUGCCUUAUGUGACUACUGUAAAGAAGUCAUCAAAUGAGAAACAAAAUUAACUGUUUCAUACAUGUGAAGAAGAAACAUCCACAGACAUACUACAGACCAAAAUACGAAAUGAAAAAUGUGAAGUAUUCAGACAUCAUCCAUCAGUGCAAUAUAUUUACGAUUCCAAUACUAGAAUUAUGGUCUUCAGUAACUGAAACACUAGCAAAGACAAAGAAUAUUAAUUGGCAAACACCAUGGAAAUGACAAUCUUUGAUUUUAAAACAUUCAAGCCUGAGGAAGAAAGCUCCAAUCAAUUGUGUUGUUCUUUUGUAAGUGUUCAAUAAGCUCUCUUUUGCAAGUGCCCUGGACACAGAAAAACUUCAGAGGAGGCUGUAAGCCAAUUCUAGAUGGUCUUGAUGUGUUUUCAUCAUCUCCACAUUAAUUCCUUCUUGUUUGGUAAUUCUGAUACACUUUUAUUGCCCUUCUUCCCCUGCUCUCCUCCCCAAGAACUGAGGUUUUUACUUUGUUUUGUUUUUUCGAGUGAAUUAGACAUGUAGCUUCUAUUCCAAUUUUAUGAAAACAUCUCUCAUUUUCAGUUUCACUUUGUGUACAUGAAGAUCGCUGUGUGGAGUUACCUCUCUGACUUUUAAUACUGUCUUAGUCUCCAAAUUCCAGGCUGGGAUUAGUCCACCCUAUGUGUUUGUAGCACUACAGUAUGCUUGCUUAGCCUGCCAGUGACCUCGUUAGACUGGCAUGCUUUGUCAGCUUCUGGAAUAAUUAGAUCAUUGAUUUCAACCCUAUCUGUAAAGCAACUUCACGUUCUUAAAAGAACGUUACCACCACUUUGUACUUAGACUCUGUGCCACAGUUGAAUGCUGAAAGGCCACAAGCUUGCAUGGGAUUCGUUGUUUCAUUAUUAACUAUAUUGUAGUUUUAAAUUAUUAAAUUAACGAAUGACAUUCUUACCAAGUAGAUGUUUCUAAGUAAGGUACUAUAUGUGUACAGUAGUCCAAAGUUUCUUAAUACUUGUGAUAAUUCUGUAAUUUAAUUUAGAAUGUCUGUAUUGCAAAUUAAUAAAACUGUUGAGGUUAUAAAGUUGCUCAUUAAGGAAGCAAUUCUCCUGCCAUUUAGUUUGUUUGUUCUCUGCACUAAACUGAGACGCCAGAUGGCCACAGAAAAACAUGUUAAUAUUAUUUAAAUAGUGCUUUUAUUCCUUGAAAUGUUCAAGAAGUUUAAGAAACUUCCAUUAACAAUGUUGCAUUGCAUUGUAUUUGGAAGAAAUAAUUUUUUUGAGCACUUUACUCCUGUAAUGUGCCUUUGGUAUACAUGAUGGGAAGUGAUAUAUUGUAAAAGCAGUUCUAUUUCAUUUUCUAUAUUUAUUUAGUGCUGCUCAUGUGUGUAUGCAUGUGUUUGUGUCUGUAGUUAUGGAGAUGCAUGUGGGGGGGAGCUGUGUGUCACCACAGAACACUUGGAAUUCAGAGGAAAACUGUUGCAGGCAGUUCUCCCCUUUGCCCAUUGGCUUCCAAGAGUCAAACUCAGGUCUUUAGGCUGAGUGGGAAGCACCUACCUUUACCUGCUGAACCAGCACGCUGGCCCAGCACCUCCAUUUCUAGAUGUCCAGUUUUAAAAAUCUAAUAUCAUUCAAUAGGUGCUGGAUACUACAAAACUCUUUUGCAGUUUCCAAUUUAUUUGUAGACUUUUAAAUUUUAUUGGUUUUGUGUUUCUGACUGCCUUUAUUCUCUCACAUUUCUGCAUGUAUAUAUCAAUGGACAUGUAUACAUAAAGGAGCUGAAUCUAUGAUUUUCAUUGGAGGGUUUAUUCUGCCUGAAAUAAGGUAGUUUCUUACGCAGCUUUCAAAAUAUAAUCUAUUAUUCUAAACUCUGCAUGGAUUCCACCUGCAAUAUGAACUUCCCUCAACUGUAUUAUCAUGAAACCCUCUCUCCCACUUUUGGAUAUUUUUAGCCUUUAAUAUAUUUUCAUUAAUUUAUUAAAUAUGUACUUCCUCUUGGUAGUUUUUAAAGUAUUAUACUGCUUAAAUAUUUUUAAAUAACAUUCAUAAUCAAGUUAGCUUCAGACCUCAAGAACAGGAUGUUUCCUGAAGCAAGCUUUGCAAAUUUAGUAUCUAGUUGCUGUUUGGAAAAAACAAUAGCAGUAAAUACAACAGAAAUAAGCAAUAUGAUCUAAAACAGCCAUAUCACAUGGGGGAAUCUAUAAUAAUAUGGAUAAUAAUAUUCAAAUAAUAACUAUUAACUAUAACUAUUAUAAAAAUGUUGAUUUUUCCAGGAGGUAGAGAGAUGAUAGAUAGGUAGUUAGAUAGAUAGAUAGAUAGAUAGAUAGAUAGAUAGAUAGAUAGAUAGAUGAUGGAUAAAUUUCUUAAUCUUAGUUCUUAGUAUGUACGUGAUUUGCAUAUACUUGUAUGUAUAUGUUUAUGCAUGUGAUUAGUGUAUCUCUGUGUGUGUGUGUGUGUGUGUGUGUUACUAUGUAUAAGUGCCACAGCACAAGGACAGCCUCCGGUGUUGAUCCUCAUCUUCCACCUUGAGACAGGUUCUCUUUGUUGUUUUUUUGUCUGCUGAACUACAAGCUUCCAAGGAAUCCUCUGUCUCCACUUCCUAUCAUACUGCAGGGGUGCUAUGAGUAUAGAUUCACACUACUGUGUCUGGAUUUACACAGGAUCUGGGGAUCCUCAAGCUUGCAUGACAAACACUUUACCCACUGAGUUACCUCUUAAACCCCCAAGAGUGAGUUGAAAAUAGAAAAAUAUAAUGACUUAAUUUUGAUUAGUCUAUUACUAGUUUUCAAAAUUCACUGUAUUUUUGUCUUCUUAUUACGAUGAUAAUGUGAGCUAGUGAGUUGCCAUUACACUGUCUGCUUUCUGAGGAGGAAUCCAGUGCUCAGAGAAUUAGAAUUUGAUCAUAAAGAUCUGAUCUUUAUAUAUUAAUCAUCUAGAGGGGCAGCCUAAAACCAUCUGAGUCUUCUAAUCCUGUGAAAUUCUGGAUUGUUACUCACCACUAAUAUAUUAGUGAUCAUUACCACUUUAAAAAAAAUCAACAUGGAUAAUUGAGUUAUUAUAAAAAUUUAAGAAACGAGUUAGGAAAAAAAAGUAGUCUGAGAUUUGAUUGUUAGACUCAGAAGCUGUCAAAUGUCCUUAGCAGAGAGCUGAAAGGUUUCCUAAACUGCAGUCUUUAGUGUGUUCAUUGCUCUGGGUGGGUAAUGAGCAACACCAGGAACACUUCCCAUGCCUGGACUACAUUCUGAGUAUUGUUCAACCCAUCAAGACAAAUCUCUAAGAGAAUCAGCAUCAUCAAGAAUGCACACCAACCAAGUUGCCAUGUUCACACAUACUUUCCUUUCUCUGGCCCUCUACCCAGCUGAUUGAACCAAGGCCACAGUGUGGCUAGUAACCUGUGAACUUGGUAAUUAUGCUUUAAAACUUGAGCUGGGUGUAUUAUUGUUGUUGCUGUUUUGUCUCUGGAUUCAUAUUUAACACAUGAAGAAAGGAUUUUCUAUAGCAUACCAAGAUACAUCAGAGGCAUCGGGACCUCAGAGUGACCUGUGAAAUCUGGGAAGUGUCCGGGCAAAAAGAGGAAUAUGUGCAGUAGAGCUGAGUCAUGUUAAUAAGGGAUCAGUAAAGCUUACAGAACUGCUGACUCUGCAGAGGUGCAUGAAGCUGCCAUCGUUCUAUAAUUACCUUGACUCCAAUAGCCCUUAGCCCCAGGCAUGAAACAGCAUUUUCUUUGACUGUUGUAAGAUAUAGAUCCCAUACUUCUUUCAGUGUACAUAUAUAUCCUGGCUGGCAUAAAUGGGCCUCUAAAUUAUUAAGAAACUUAGCUUAACCAAGACUUGGUCCCAGGCUUUUUACAUUUUAUCAAAUAAGCUUAUUCCAGAACUAACAGAUGCCACUGAGGAAGACAAAUUACACAUUUCGGCAGUGAUAUUUCAAAGCGAACUGGUCUGAGCUAGUGGAAUACUCUAUAUGCUUCUAAAAUUCUAACUCUUAUCUACAUAUCUAGUUUUCUGUUUCUUUGUUUCCAAAUUCCUCCCCUCAGAGAUUGAUUACAGCAUUUUCUGUAAUUCGUUAUAGUCUGCUUUUGCUUAAGGAGACAAUCUCUGGAAAUUUAUACCAAAUUACCCCAGUAAUAGAUGUGCUCUCGUAAUUCACCUGUCUUCUGCAUGUUCGCUGAUUUGUGAAACUCUUUAGAGCCAAACCUCACUCUUUAAUGGACCAGACAUGUGCUUUCAGCUGUGCUAACCAGGACACAUAACAUGUGACAAUGGUUUCUGGAAUCCCCCCAGAUACUGAAGGUGCAAGUAGGAGAUUGUGUGUGCUGUGAUUUACAACACAUGAUUAUCGCCUUGAUGGUUCGUUGUUUUUCGAAAUGUAAGUGUUCCUGUUGUUUUUAACUCACAAGCUACAGUAACAUGCACAUUUUCUUUGUGGGCAAAAAGUAUCAUUUAGCACAAAAGUCAAAACAUAGCUUCUUUAAAAAAAAAAAAAAAAAACUCCAAUUAAUUCUGAAUUUUAAGUGACUACUAAAUUAAACGUUUCCUGUCACAUGUUAACAAUAUGGGGCCUUUGACUGAAUGGAGCUCCGUGUAAUCUUAUUGAGCCAGUAGGUCACAGGAAUAAGAGAAAACGUGUUUGAAUCACAGGAGAGAGCGGAUGUUGGAUGGAUCUGUGAAAUAUUCUCUGUUGUGGUAUCAGCUGACUAAUGGCUGUGAUUCUCAGAAGGACUCCAACAUUAUGCCUCCUAAAAGCUGGAGAUUAAUGUGACCAUGGUGAACCACACAGCGAUACUCUGGCAAAGAAAAAGGGUCAGGACUGGCAAGAUGUGGCAGGUGUCAAAAUAAAAGGUUAGGCUCUGUGCCUGGGGACCCAUCUGUCAGAAAAAACUAUGAUAAGGCAAUUAAUGUAUUUGUUUAUGUUGCUCAUGUCACACCAUGCAUAUUCCAUAAAAAUGAUCAGUUUAAACACUCUCAACUGCUUUCUGGAAAUUAGACUAUAUGUAAAAAGAAAAUACUCAAGAUUUUUAAAAAAAGAUUUAUUAAAUGGAGAGGUUACACAGCCAAAUCAAGUUAACUUGAAGAACUUCUAGUCUCUUUACUAAAGAACUAAAGCUAUUAACUAUAACAUCUUCAUAAUGUAGAGUUUAUAUUAGGGACAUUUGAAGCGGAUGUUUAUGCUGCAAUAUAAUUGGUAUAUCACCUCAAAAUUUCACCAUGCUUUACAUUCAUGAUACUAGAUUCUAAGUUUGGAAUAAAAUACAUCCCAGAGAAUGUAUAAGAAACUGAGAACUUCCAACCAUAAGCUAUGUAUCCUGCAUUUUCUUCAAAUGUUUUGUUCACAACGUUGUCAUUAUUAGGGCUUUCAUUUUCACUCUGUGAGUAAUCCUGACUCCUCUCAUUGUAUUUAUUAUUUAUUUAGCUUUCUCACGACAUCUGCUUUACAAUCUGUUUAAACUAGAACAUGUUUAGGUUUAAUAUUCAUCGGUGAUGUAUUUCUUGCAGACAAAAUAAAUUAUCAUAUGCUUUAAAAAUGCCUUAUUAUUUUACAGGUCAAAAAAUAUAAAUGAAUUUACCCAGAAUUAUGAAAGAAAUAAGAUUUUUUUCACAGCUCAAAAUUUCAGGUAAAAAUUGAUUUUCUCAUUACUUUCUACUGUAGAGUUAAAAAAGCUCCCAGUUAUUGUUUUAAUACAUUAUUCUUACAAUAAUGUUAUGUUUUGAAGAGAAGAAACUGGUUCAUCAACUGCAUAAUGUGCUAUGUAGAAGGAAUAGUCAAGGCCUUCAAUUUCUGAAGAAAAGCCAGAUACGACUAUUUUGUUCUCAAGCUACACUUUCUGACAGAGUGAUGGUGUUAGCAUUCAUUGUGACAACAGAAAGAAGCAUUUGAAAAACAGAGCUCCCAUAUUCAAUGGAUUUAUUUUCAUUUUUGUUGAGACAGGAUUUACCCCCACUACUUCCCAUCUAUUAGAAGGGUUUUGAUUAAACUUUAAGUCAGUGAUUUUUUUUUCACCAGGACAACUUCCCAGCCCAAAGCAUGUCACAAUCUUUAAUUUUCUUCCAUCUCUCAUGGAAGCUUGGAUUCAGUGGACCAGCAGAUAUCAUGGUAUGUUGAGGAAGUAAAGGUCAGUGGAGAUUCAAGACACAGAUUUUAUUAUAGGGUUCUUUCUGAGGUCUGAUGCACGACUUACAAGUUAUGCUUGCAGUCUGACUACAACUAACUACUAUUUGAAAUUGAAUUCACUCCUGCCUGCAUUUCCUGGCUCAGAGGUUUAUACUGUUGCUUUAAUUUUAUUUGAAUUUCAGUCUUCUGAAUUAGCUCUGUUUUCUAUCUCUUUAUCUUCAUUUGCCUGCAUGUAGUUGAAAAUACAUGAGGGCAAAAUAAAAUUCUUAGUCACCAUUUUGUAUGGCUCUUCAAAAUUCUAAGAUGUGUAACAUUACCAGGCUGUGAUCAAUUCAGCUAACUGGACACUUUCUCUGUACCUUAGAGUAAAAGUAAUAAUCUCAACAGAAAGUUGGGAUCUCACUCAUUUUUUUCACAGAUCCAUUAAAAGAUCCAUCAAACAAAAGGUAAGAUGAUUUUUAACUUCUUCACAGUAGGGACUGUCCUAUAUAAAUGACCAAUUUCACAGCACAUAUUCUAUCUUUACAUGGGAAGAAAAUAAACAGCGAGGUUCCUUUUAUUUUUAAAAUGAUUUAAUUUCUACUUUCACUUUUCUACAGAAGUGUGAAAGAGCAAUUUUGCUGGAUAUCCACUUAUUUCAAUUCAGCCAUGUGACGGUAUUAUGAGAACUCUGGUGGGGUGGUUGACCCCUCUUUCCUCUGGGACUGUGCAAACCUCCCUCUGUUUUAACCAUAGAAAAACCUACUUCAAAUGACUAGCGUGUGCCCGCCUGCAUCGGAUGCGCCUUUUCCUUAGCCUCACACGCUUCUGGACCUCUUCUGUCUCAGGCAUCACUUUUCUGGCCAGACCCUUGUAUUUGUUUGUACUAUCAUUUAUGGUUUCAGGGAUUUAUUUUAAUACAUUGAGCAUUUGCUCAAUAUUAGGUAAGUAAUAUUUUACCUCCAUUUCCAGAUGAUGAAACUCUGGUAUACUGAGGGUAACCAUUCUUAAAAUAUGGACCUAUCUUCUUUUAGUAAUGGGGAUUCUAUGCAUCUACUUAUUGCUAAAUUGCUGAGGAACCAGGAUGAAAGUCUGAGAGUUGUGUGGCAGGUAAAAAUAUACAACUCCAGACAGAUGAAGCAGGAAUUUUGAACACCGAUCUUUCUAAUUCCUGUUUCUCCCAAGUCAGAGGGUUGCAGUAACUGGCGAUUGCCCUAGGCAUGUGUCAUUUUAGUUCCCAGAAAUACUUGUGCACCAACAUAGUGCCUUAGGUGAUGCGAUCGGGCUAUAAUCAAGGUGUCUUUUGUGGGCUGAGCUCCUUUAAGUACUAACAAUGAGGGGCCUGGUCCAGGGGAGGUACUCUGACAGACACUGCUGGUUUCUUGUGUAAGUACAGGAUUGUUUUUCUUGUAGUGAUUAUAUCCUCUUUUCAUACAUAAUGCCAUGGAUUAGCAUCUUGCUUUUUUAUUGGUUUGCCUUUUCUGCAGUUUAUCUCUUUUAACGAUCUUUUGGAGAGCUAGCAUUUAAAUUUGUCACUCAACUGUUCUCUCACUUAUAAAUUAUUGAUCUCUAAUCGUAUCUUUAUUAAUUUAUUCCUGCCAUUUUAUACUCAUUUAGAAAAUUAUUCCUCUUUUUUUUUUACUGGGAUGCUUAAUUAAUCUAUUUUCAUUCUUUCUUGUUUAACAUGAAAAAUAUUAAAGCAUUAUAUUUUCUUUUGAGUACUGGUCUGGCAGAAUCCUACCAUGUUUAGUUCUUCUAUGAAUAUUUUUGAUUUUUAACCUUGCCAUGAGUAGGGAAUCACCCCCCACCCUUACCCAAAUUCCUAAGAUUGACCCACAGCUCCAAUAUUGCUACCAUCUUCUGAUAUGGUGGCAUAUAUUUUAACUGAGUGCUUCUUCUCACCUGCUUUUGUAACUGUCUGUAGCCAUCUCACCAUGAUCCAGGAGGAGAACUGAGUGAUGAUUCUAGGAUGGUAGGGGAUGUGAACAGUGACAGUAAAAGGAAGUCUUUGUCUUUUUCCUGAUUCUGCAAAUGCAGAUCUGAAGAAGGAAGGAUCUGGACCUUCCUGGAUCCCAGGUGAAAACAGCAACUUCUGGAAUGAGCAAGCAGAAGACCCAGUCUCCAAGGAGCUACUUUAUUGGACCUGAAAAUAUACAAAAUUAUUGUUGUAAGAGAGAAAUUAACAUCUAUCCCUUUAGGGGCCAUUAUUUCAAGACCCCACUUCAGCAGCUGCAAUGAUAUAAUAACUGAUACAGUUACUAAUUACUAGUUCAGUUGCAUUGCUACCAAGGAAUAUGAAAUAUAUAAAAUGUAUGUUCUAGUUCUAUAUAGAAUAUGUAUGCUAAGAUAUUUUAGCUGUUUAAGAAGUGAUCAAGUUUUGUAAGUAUUUACUACUGUUUUUAUGAAUUUUCUAUUACAUAACUGUAUGAUGUCUACAUAUAUACAUACACACACACACACAUAUAUAUGCUAUUCAACCCACAUUAUUAGUUGUGUUACUAUUUUCCAUAUCAUGCUCUAUAUAACAGCAUUGCAUAGAAGACUGAUGAGUUUCCAUCAAAAUAAAAAUGUUUCCUGGUCUCUUUAA